rnacentral:lncRNA from 1 species
GAAGAAUUGAAAGAAUUGACUGGUAGAUGGAAACAUGCUGGAAUCUGUUGGCUUGCUUGCAGGUAUAGGGGCCUCAAAAGGUAUCUCCCCAUUUAGAACCUUUGUGUUUGUUUUACCAGUGGCUUUAAUUAUUUCUCAGCUCAACCCCACUGCUUCCCUAAACACUGGAUAGUAGUGGAAUAGCUUAGUGGUGACAUCUUAUAGGCCCAAGAAUAGAAAUAGCACCGGAUCAGUUAACUAAGAACAAAAUGUCAUUCACAUACAUCUUGCUGAGAUGGUGAAGAAUAUUCUCCCUUUCUUCGGCUUUCCUAUAUUUCUUUAGGAGACCUCUUGUACUGUGGUAAAUUGUCAACAUAUCUCAUGUAGUUAUUCUC